rnacentral:rRNA from 1 species
CCCUUAGAUGUUCUGGGCCGCACGCGCGCUACACUGAUGCAUUCAACGAGUCUAAAACCUGCUCUGAUAGGGGUGGGUAAUCUUUUGAAUGUGCAUCGUGAUUGGGAUAGAUGAUUGCAAUUUUUCAUCUUCAACGAGGAAUGCCUAGUAAACGCAAGUCAUCAGCUUGCAUUGAUUACGUCCCUGCCCUUUGUACACACCGCCCGUCGCUACUACCGAUUGAAUGGUUUAGUGAGGACUCCUGAUUGGCGCCGCCGCCCCGGCAACGGAGCAGCGGACUGCCGAAAAGUUGUUCAAACUUGAUCAUUUAGAGGAAGUAAAAGUCGUAACA